AGAGUUUGAUCCUGGCUCAGAACGAACGCUGGCGGCAGGCUUAACACAUGCAAGUCGAGCGCCCCGCAAGGGGAGCGGCAGACGGGUGAGUAACGCGUGGGAAUCUACCCAUCACUACGGAACAACUCCGGGAAACUGGAGCUAAUACCGUAUACGUCCUUCGGGAGAAAGAUUUAUCGGUGAUGGAUGAGCCCGCGUUGGAUUAGCUAGUUGGUGGGGUAAUGGCCUACCAAGGCGACGAUCCAUAGCUGGUCUGAGAGGAUGAUCAGCCACACUGGGACUGAGACACGGCCCAGACUCCUACGGGAGGCAGCAGUGGGGAAUAUUGGACAAUGGGCGAAAGCCUGAUCCAGCCAUGCCGCGUGAGUGAUGAAGGCCCUAGGGUUGUAAAGCUCUUUCAACGGUGAAGAUAAUGACGGUAACCGUAGAAGAAGCCCCGGCUAACUUCGUGCCAGCAGCCGCGGUAAUACGAAGGGGGCUAGCGUUGUUCGGAUUUACUGGGCGUAAAGCGCACGUAGGCGGACUAUUAAGUCAGGGGUGAAAUCCCGGGGCUCAACCCCGGAACUGCCUUUGAUACUGGUAGUCUCGAGUCCGGAAGAGGUGAGUGGAAUUCCGAGUGUAGAGGUGAAAUUCGUAGAUAUUCGGAGGAACACCAGUGGCGAAAGCGGCUCACUGGUCCGGUACUGACGCUGAGGUGCGAAAGCG
rnacentral:rRNA from 1 species